UCAAUUUACAGCGGGCUUCGGCCCUGUCUGCACCCUUGUCUUUUGCGUACUACUUGUUUCCUUGGUGGGCUUGCCCGCCAACAGGACACUAUACAACCACUUGUAAUAGCAAUCAGCGUCAGAAUAACUAUAAUAGUUA
rnacentral:misc_RNA from 1 species